GUACUCAUUUCAGCAGCACAUAUACUAAAAUUGGAAUGAUACAAGGAAGAUCAGUAUGGCUCCUGUGCAAGGGUGAUGACGCAGAUUCUUGAAGCAUUCCCUAUUUUU